CUGGAGGUAUCAGAAGUGCGAAUGCUGACAUAAGUAACGAUAAAGCGGGUGAAAAGCCCGCUCGCCGGAAGACCAAGGGUUCCUGUCCAACGUUAAUCGGGGCAGGGUGAGUCGACCCCUAAGGCGAGGCCGAAAGGCGUAGUCGAUGGGAAACAGGUUAAUAUUCCUGUACUUGGUGUUACUGCGAAGGGGGGACGGAGAAGGCUAUGUUGGCCGGGCGACGGUUGUCCCGGUUUAAGCGUGUAGGCUGGUUUUCCAGGCAAAUCCGGAAAAUCAAGGCUGAGGCGUGAUGACGAGGCACUACGGUGCUGAAGCAACAAAUGCCCUGCUUCCAGGAAAAGCCUCUAAGCAUCAGGUAACAUCAAAUCGUACCCCAAACCGACACAGGUGGUCAGGUAGAGAAUACCAAGGCGCUUGAGAGAACUCGGGUGAAGGAACUAGGCAAAAUGGUGCCGUAACUUCGGGAGAAGGCACGCUGAUAUGUAGGUGAAGUCCCUCGCGGAUGGAGCUGAAAUCAGUCGAAGAUACCAGCUGGCUGCAACUGUUUAUUAAAAACACAGCACUGUGCAAACACGAAAGUGGACGUAUACGGUGUGACGCCUGCCCGGUGCCGGAAGGUUAAUUGAUGGGGUCAGCGCAAGCGAAGCUCUUGAUCGAA
rnacentral:rRNA from 1 species